rnacentral:rRNA from 1 species
UACGUAGGGGGCAAGCGUUGUCCGGAAUCAUUGGGCGUAAAGAGCGUGUAGGCGGUCCGAUAAGUCCGCUCUGAAAGCCCGGGGCUCAACCCCGGGAGGCGGGCGGAUACUGUCGGGCUAGAGUCCGGAAGAGGCAAGUGGAAUUCCUGGUGUAGCGGUGAAAUGCGCAGAUAUCAGGAGGAACACCGAUGGCGAAGGCAGCUUGCUGGGACGGUACUGACGCUGGGGCGCGAAAGCGUGGGGAGCGAACAGG